rnacentral:rRNA from 1 species
CAGCAGCCGCGGGAACACGUAGGUGGCAAGCGUUGUCCGGAAUUAUUGGGCGUAAAGGGCUCGCAGGCGGUUUCUUAAGUCUGAUGUGAAAGCCCCCGGCUCAACCGGGGAGGGUCAUUGGAAACUGGGAAACUUGAGUGCAGAAGAGGAGAGUGGAAUUCCACGUGUAGCGGUGAAAUGCGUAGAGAUGUGGAGGAACACCAGUGGCGAAGGCGACUCUCUGGUCUGUAACUGACGCUGAGGAGCGAAAGCGUGGGGAGCGAACAGGAUUAGAUACCCCAGUAGUCCCUGUCUCUUAUAA